rnacentral:sRNA from 1 species
AAAAAAUCAGACAAAAA